rnacentral:rRNA from 1 species
UUGGAGGGCAAGUCUGGUGCCAGCAGCCGCGGUAAUUCCAGCUCCAAUAGCGUAUAUUAAAGUUGUUGCAGUUAAAAAGCUCGUAGUUGAAUUUCGGAUUCAGUAGGUUGGUCGUGCCACAGGUAUGUACUGGCUUCACUGAUUCCUCCUUCUUGUAGAAAUGUGAUGCCAUUAACUUGGUUGUUGCAUGGAAACAGGACUGUUACUUUGAAAAAAUUAGAGUGUUUAAAGCAGGCUAACGCUUGAAUACAUUAGCAUGGAAUAAUGAAAUAGGACGUUCGAACCUUUUUGUUGGUUUUCUAGGAUUGACGUAAUGAUUAAUAGGGAUAGUUGGGGGCAUUAGUAUUCAAUUGUCAGAGGUGAAAUUCUUGGAUUUUUUGAAGACUAACUACUGCGAAAGCAUUUGCCAAGGAUGUUUUCAUUAAUCAAGAACGAAAGUUAGGGGAUCGAAGACGAUCAGAUACCGUCGUAGUCUUAACCAUAAACUAUGCCGACUAGGGAUCGGAUGAUGUUAAUUUUUUUAAUGACUCAUUCGGCGCCUUACGGGAAAC